rnacentral:rRNA from 1 species
AUUGAACGCUGGCGGCAUGCUUUACACAUGCAAGUCGAACGGUAACAGGCCGCAAGGUGCUGACGAGUGGCGAACGGGUGAGUAAUGCAUCGGAACGUGCCCAGUCGUGGGGGAUAACGCAGCGAAAGUUGCGCUAAUACCGCAUACGAUCUAUGGAUGAAAGCGGGGGACCGUAAGGCCUCGCGCGAUUGGAGCGGCCGAUGUCAGAUUAGGUAGUUGGUGGGGUAAAGGCUCACCAAGCCGACGAUCUGUAGCUGGUCUGAGAGGACGACCAGCCACACUGGGACUGAGCAACGGCCCAGACUCCUACGGGAGGCAGCAGUGGGGAAUUUUGGACAAUGGGCGCAAGCCUGAUCCAGCAAUGCCGCGUGCAGGAAGAAGGCCUUCGGGUUGUAAACUGCUUUUGUACGGAACGAAACGGUCCUGGUUAAUACCCGGGGCUAAUGACGGUACCGUAAGAAUAAGGAUCGGCUAACUCCGUGCCAGCCGCCGCAGUAACAC